CCCUUAGAUGUCCUGGGCCGCACGCGCGUUACACUGAUGCAUUCAACGAGCUUAUAACCUUGGCCGAGAGGCCUGGGCAAUCUUGUUAACGUGCAUCGUGAUAGGGAUAGAUUAUUGAAAUUAUUAAUCUUGAACGAGGAAUUCCUAGUAAACGCAGAUCAUCAAUCUGCAUUGAUUACGUCCCUGCCCUUUGUACACACCGCCCGUCGCACCUACCGAUUGGAUGGUCCGGUGAAGCCUCGGGAUUGUGGUUCUUGCCGCUUUAUUGUGGCGUGACCGCGAGAACUAGUCUAAACCUUAUCAUCUAGAGGAAGGUGAAGUCGUAACA
rnacentral:rRNA from 1 species